rnacentral:rRNA from 1 species
UACAGAGGGUGCAAGCGUUAAUCGGAAUUAUUGGGCGUAAAGAGCUCGUAGGCGGUUUGUUGCGUCGGCUGUGAAAUCCCGAGGCUCAACCCCGGGUCUGCAGUCGAUACGAGCAAACUAGAGUGUUGCAGGGGAGACUGGAAUUCCUGGCGUAGCGGUGAAAUGCGCAGAUAUCAGGAGGAACACCGGUGGCGAAGGCGGGUCUCUGGGCAACAACUGACGCUGAGGAGCGAAAGCGUGGGGAGCGAACAGG